UUUUCAAAAAAAAAAAAAAAAGGCUUAGAGAUUUCAAAGGCUUUUCAUGAUCAUGGUGGCAAAUAUUCAUUUUUGGAACAAAGCCCUUUUCUGAUGAAGAGCUUGAACUUUUUACAAGAGCAGGUGGUGACAGGGUGGGGGGGGGGGAUGGCCUUCAGCAAUUUAGAUUGGAUCUUUGGAGGAAAUUCUGGAGUGGAAGCACUGAGCAGAGGUAGGAGCAAGAGGCUGUCCAUGAGGACAGCAGCCACAGCUGGCAGCUCUGCCCAAAGCUGCUCUUCUUUGGGUGAUCCUGCCCAUGGAAUGUGUGUGGGAAUUACACAAGUUACUUUAGGCCAGGACAAGAGAGCUCCCUGACACAUUGGGAAGUUUGCGCAGAGGGAAAGCUGAUUGAUAAGAAGGGGGACUUUAUGUCAGGGGUGUAACAAAAUGGUGGGUGGGUAGAUUCAGAGUUUUAGACACCAUUUCCUUUCAGAGUGUUUUAAAUAAUGAGCAGCUUGGAAGGGAGCUUGAACAUCUGCUAAUUAAAGUAUUGCCUGAAUUAUCUUUCUUAACCACAGACUUGACAUCCACAUCCUUUAACCACACACUAAUUCCUCCUUAACACAUGCUCAGGUUUCUCUAGCACAUGGCAAAUCCCAGUUCACACUGGGCACAUGCAGAGGGUUUUUAGGCUUUAUAAUCUAUGGAUUCUUUCUGAAUCAUUCCCUCUUUCCUUCUGACCCAUAGGAAGGGCAGUGUGGUCUGUACUGCCCUGACACCUCCAGGCCUGAACCUCAGCAGAAAUAACACUCCUUUAUUGCCAACUCCCAACACUGGAGUUUUUCCCCGGCUGUUGAGCACUGAGAUGACAAAUUCCAUCAGUUCUGUAAUUCCAAGACCUUCUUGAAGUGCUGGGUAAUGCAGAGACUGAUAGCUCUUCCCUCCGUCCAGCACUGGACACUCCCAGCCCCUGAUUCCCCUUGUCCCUUUGUCACUGUGUCAUUCUGUGUUUUGAUGUCCACAGUCAUCAGGAAGGUGGGAUUUCCCCUUUUCUCACUUAUUUUGGAUGCACAGACUUUUGUGCCUGUUCUCUCUUAAAUUUGCCUCACCUUUCCCCCAGAUUUCUCUUCCCUUUCUCCUCACUCUGCUAAGCUCUUCCAAAUUUCUGCCUCAUCCAGGCCUUGCCUGAUACAUCCUUGUAUUCAGUUAUUGGCUGCCAGUUCUGGUCCUUCCUACUGCGACCACCCCCAGACUCUUUCCUUUAAUUUUUGGAGUUUGGGUUGGUUUUUCUUCCCCUCCUUGAUUCUAUAAUGUGGUUCUUUCCCCAGCUUUCCUUAUUCUUUCAUUCCUGCCCUAUGACUCUCUUGGUCCUUUUGGGAUUUCCAUGCCCAUUUCUCCUUCUAUUCUGCUGAAGCUCAAAAUUCCCUGGACUGACAAUUCUUUCUUAGUUUAAAAGUUAUAAUUUGUACAUAUUUCUCAUAUUUUGUGUUUUGACUUCCUCUACUAGUCACCAGUGUUGUCAACCAACCAGCUUUAGAUCCUUUUAAAAUCCUAAUCCCAUAGUUUCUUUCCAAUUCCCACCCACAUUACCCUCUAGUCCCAUUCCUGUAUCCCUUCUAUCCAGAAAUUUUCUUUUUUGGUCGUAGUCCUAAUUUUUCCCCCUCUUUUUUUGUCUUUUUUGUUUUCCCUAGAUUGAAAAAUCCAGAAUUUGAGGCAACCAGGAGAAGAACUUGUUUUACCAUCAAAAACAUUUCCCUCCUUUAAAAUGCUCAAAAAUGUGGAGGCUCAAACCCAUUUCUUCACAGAAUCCUGGAGUGGUUGAGGUUGGAAGGGACACUGGGGGUGAUCCAGUCCCAUCUCUCUGUGACCUGAGUGCCCAGGGCUGUUUCCGGAUGACUUUUGGAUGUCUCCAGGGAUGGAGACUCCACCACCUCUCUGAGCAGGCCAUUUAGGAAAUUUCAGUGCUUUUCAUGGAAAAAAUGCAGCAGGAUUGGAGGCACUGUUAAUGGGGCUGGUGUCACCCCUGGGUGGGGCUCUGCUCCCACCCCAUGCAAAUCCAGGGAUCCUGGAGUGCUCAGCAAGCACUGAGCACACAAAGAUGAGAUUGUCCUUGGGGUAACAUUUUAACCAAAGGGUCAGAGAAGGUACCAGUGAUGACGUGAUUUGGUUUAAAAGCAAUAAAAAGGCUGUAAAAGCAACGGCAGAGCCAAGGAAAAUCUGCAUUAAAUAAUUUGCAUCUCUGCCAUGUUCUGAUAAAAGCUAUCAUCACAGGAUAGGGAUGUCUAUUAUGGGAUAGGAAUACUCUUAGAUCUUUCCAGGAUCUUAAUUUUUUUUAUUUUCCCAGGAGUCUGAAAGACUAAUCCUAUGUUCUCCUCUGCCUGGGAUAUUUCACUGUCAGGGAUAUUCCACUAUAUUUCACUAAUCAGAAUUAAUGAUAAAGGUACUUUAUUGCUGUUUUCAGUCCUGUCAUGAUAAGACACUUUUUGACCAGAUCAGUAAAUAUUCUGCUUUGCUCUCCCAGUGGAUGAGGUGACACAGUGAAUCCCAAUAUUCCUGUUAGCAUUCAGCUGCUUUAAAUAGCAAAUACCCUACAGUUUGGUGUGUCCCAGCAGGGGCCUGAAGUGUCACUCAGGUGAUUUAGCCCAGGCAGUUUUGAGUUUUGGUAACUCAUGAUCGAAGUCCAACCCCUCUCCUGGGAGAUACCUGGGGAAAAAACCUGGAAAAUCCAGUGCAGAGUGACUGAGGUGGUGAGGGGCCUGUGGCACAUCAGUGGAGGGAGAGGAACUUCUUUAAUCUGGGAAAGGGGAGAAGAAAAGGGUGAAGAGGACAACUGUGAGGGACAGGUUAAUCAUGGGAGGGUCUGUUAUUUCCAGAUCCUUCAGAAAGGCACAUCCAGUGACACUUCUCUGACACCUUCGAGGAUCCAUGUCUCAGUUUGCUUAUGAACUGCUUGGUUAUUAAUACCUCUGGAAGAUUUAAGAAAAAAAUAAAUUUAAGCUUGUACCAAG